GAUGAACGCUGGCGGCGUGCCUAAUACAUGCAAGUCGAGCGAACAGACGAGGAGCUUGCUCCUCUGACGUUAGCGGCGGACGGGUGAGUAACACGUGGAUAACCUACCUAUAAGACUGGGAUAACUUCGGGAAACCGGAGCUAAUACCGGAUAAUAUAUUGAACCGCAUGGUUCAAUAGUGAAAGACGGUUUUGCUGUCACUUAUAGAUGGAUCCGCGCCGCAUUAGCUAGUUGGUAAGGUAACGGCUUACCAAGGCAACGAUGCGUAGCCGACCUGAGAGGGUGAUCGGCCACAGUGGAACUGAGACACGGUCCAGACUCCUACGGGAGGCAGCAGUAGGGAAUCUUCCGCAAUGGGCGAAAGCUUGACGGAGCAACGCCGCGUGAGUGAUGAAGGUCUUCGGAUCGUAAAACUCUGUUAUUAGGGAAGAACAAAUGUGUAAGUAACUAUGCACGUCUUGACGGUACCUAAUCAGAAAGCCACGGCUAACUACGUG
rnacentral:rRNA from 1 species